AAGGAAUAUUGGACAAUGGCGGCAACGCUGAUCCAGCUAUCCCGCGUGCAGGAUGAAGGGGCUAUGCCUUGUAAACUGCUUUGGACUGAGACGAAAAAAUGGGAUUCUUCCCAUAUUGACGGUAUCAGUAGAACAAGCACCGGCUAACUCCGUGCCAGCAGCCGCGGUAAUACGGAGGGUGCAAGCGUUAUCCGGAAUCACUGGGUGUAAAGGGUGCGUAGGCGGCCUGUUAAGUCAGGAGUGAAAGGCCACAGCUUAACUGUGGGAUUGCUUUUGAUACUGGCGGGCUUGGAUUAGGACGAGGUUGGCGGAAUGUGGCAAGUAGCGGUGAAAUGCAUAGAUAUGCCAUAGAAUACCGAUUGCGAAGGCAGCUGACUAGACCUAUAUUGACGCUGAGGCACGAAAGCGUGGGGAGCGAAC
rnacentral:rRNA from 1 species